rnacentral:rRNA from 1 species
AUGAAUCAGUUGGAGACACUGUCACAUGUUGAAGUUUCCCACAGUGUUAAUGAUUUAACUGGUGUUGGUCAUCUAUUACAGCUGAGGAAACUGGGUGUGAUUCUCCAGGGUAAGAAAGGUGGCCUGAGUUAUCUAUUUCAACAGAUCGAAAAAUUACAUGGUUGCCUUCGCUCCUUGUCUAUUCAGAUCAACGAACCGGUUUCUCAAACUGAGGAUACUCUUAGCUCAGAGGAGGUGGUCACAUUAGCCUCCCCUCCAAACCUUCUUCAAAGCUUAAACAUUAGCGGCAUCACAAGUGGGUUUCUACUCUGGAUUGCAGAGCUCGAUCAACUUACCAAGAUAACACUGAGCCAGACUUACCUAGGGGAAGAUGAUAUAUGCAUCCUCGGCAAGCUUGCAGCUCUGCGCUGCCUCAGGCUUCGGCGCAGUUCAUACGCCGGCAGCGGGCUCACAUUCAAGCAAGAAGAGUUCAAGAUCCUCAGGUCCUUGGUCGUUGAUGAUGGUACCAUCACCGACAUUAUCUUUGACACUGGAGCCGCUCCCAAGCUGGAGAGGAUUGUGUGGUCCUUUGCCAAAAUGGAGUCUAUUUGUGGACUCCUCCGCCUUCCCAAAUUGAAGAAUGUCGAGCUCAAUGGUGACUGCGACCCAGAUCCAGUGAGACUAGCACUUGAAAAGCACCCCAACCUUCCUGAUUUCAAGCACAAGCCACACCAGGGGCAACAAGAAGAUAGAGCUGUGGUUGCUGCCUCACCUCAAUGA